rnacentral:tRNA from 1 species
GACUGGAUAGCCUAGUGGUUAAAGGCAGCACAUCUAAUGUUGUGUCUUAGCUUACAUGCUGAGCUCCCGGGUUCAACUCCUGGUCUGGUCA